rnacentral:piRNA from 1 species
CAUGGACAGACUAAGAAAAAGGAG